rnacentral:lncRNA from 1 species
UUUAGGAUUUAGGAUUUGAUUUAAGGGUGGUUAGGAUUUGAUUUAGGGUUAAGAUUUGAUUAGGAUUUGAUUUAGGAUUAGGAUUUGGUUUAGAGUUUAGGAUUUGGUUAGGAUUUGAUUUAGGAUUAGAGUUUGGUUUAGGAUUUAGGAUUUGGUUAGGAUUUGAUUUAGGAUUUAGGAUUUGAUUUAAAGGUGGUUAGGAUUUGAUUUAGGGUUAAGAUUUUAUUAGGAUUUGGUUAGGAUUUGAUGUAAGAUUAGGGUUUGAUUUAGGAUUUAGGAUUUGAUUAGGAUUUUAUUUAAGAUUAGAAUUUGAUUUAGGAUUUAGGAUUUGGUUAGAAUUUGAUUUAGGAUUUAGGAUUUGGUUAGAAUUUGAUUUAGGAUUAGGAUUUGAUUUAGGAUUUAGGGAUUGAUUAGGGUUUGAUUUAGGAUUUAGGAUUUGAUUAGGAUUUGAUUUAAGAUUAGAAUUUGAUUUAGGAUUUAGAAUUUGGUUAGAGUUUGAUUUAGGAUUAGGAUUUGAUUUAAGAUUAGAAUUUGAUUUAGGAUUUAGAAUUUGGUUAGAGUUUGAUUUAGGAUUAGGAUUUGAUUUAGGAUUUAGGGAUUGAUUAGGGUUUGAUUUAGGGUUUAGGAUUUGAUUUAGGGUUUAGGAUUUGAUUUAGGAUUUGAUUUAGGAUUUGAUCAGGAUUUGAUUUAGGAUUUAGGAUUUUAUUUGAGAUUUUUUAGGAUUUAGGAUUUAGUUAGUUUUUGGCCUAAAGUUUGGAUGAAGCAAGAUUUCAACUAGGAUUAAC